AAGAAUUAAAUGGAUGAAAUAUGAAGUUUUAUUAAAAGAAAAAGGGGUGAAAAGAACAAAGUUUUGUCCAUCUUUGUUCAUCAUAGCUGAAAGUUAGAGAAGAGAAAUGAGAGGAGAAAGCUCUUGAGUAUUCGGUCAUUAGGAGGAGGAAAAUUGAAGGAAAUCCCCAACCAUAGUGGGCUUGGAGCUGUGAGGGAAUUCGGAGUGACCACCCGUUCUGAAAGUUUGAUUUUCUUCUCGUGAACUGGACAUCCUUUUAUUUACGAUUGAAGUUUUGGGUUUUUAAAUGUAAUAAGGCCACUUAACUAUUUUUUAUGGUUUUAAUAUGUAUUACUAAGAUAGGUAAUACUUAUUUUAACUGUUGAAAUUGGAUAGCUUUAGGGCGCAUUUUCAAAAACAACAGUUGAUUUCAAAAUAACACGACAACAAGCAAAGCUUCCGCAAUGAAAGUAUUUUCCAAAA